CUGGAUUAGCACCUGCAGUGGGUUUGGCUCUGAGCUUAUGAUUUGGGUUCAAGGAAACAUCUGGGCUAUGGAUUAUGUGCUACAACACUGACAUUGCACCUCCAGUUCUAGGCCCCAGUACUGGGAUGAGGUAAGAUUAUGAGAUGGUCAAACUAUGGAAGGAUUGAGAAACAGCAGCUGUUCUGAAAAAACGAAUCAAAUCCAAUCCAUAAUGUAUUAGCAAAGAACUGUAAUCCUUAAUAUAGAGGUGUGACACAUAGAUUUCACAUCAGUGUGCUUAUUUUCAUGCCAAGUGUGAUUUAUUUUUUGUUUUGUUUCUACCGUAAGUCUAACAAUCAGUACAUGCUGUGGUGUAGAUAUCAUUGUUCCAACUUCCAUUUGGGAGAAACUGUAUUAUGGGCAGCACUCUGCGCUACCAGCCUGAUUCCAUGCCUACCUAGAAAGCUGUGCUCUUCUGCAUGACUAUUGCUACAGGUUCCUCUGAACAAUUAUGUUACUUUAUAGGCCAAUAAGCUCUAGAAAAACAACGCACUCAAGAUGAAUAUUUCAACCAGAUUCCGGGGGAGGGAAAAAAAAAAAUAUAAUUAUAUAAAGCAGCAGAGAAUGGCAAAAUCUACAGUUUUAUGAAAACAUUCCCCUGAUUUCCAAACUCUGAAGAGAUCCAAACAGUGACGUGACUUAGAGGUGACUACUGCUGCAGAGUGUGAAUGGAAUCAGACACACUGAAGACCCACUCAGAUGCUCACCUACAUCAUUCUCUGGGUGUACUGAAUUGAAUGGAGCUCCUGCCCUCUACUUUAACUGGGAAAAGUAUUUUUCUUUUUGUUUCAUAUCACAAACUGUGUGGGUUUCCCCUCCCUGGUACCACCACCAGGGCCCCAGAUGGAGAUUUUGGCAGAUGUGGGCAAUCCAGGAGUAAGUGCCUCCCAGAGCUGGAUCUGGAGCAGAUCGAAAUGCGGACACAGAUCAGGUCGGCUGCUCUUCCACAGUUGUGGCAUCCUCCCAAGUCCUUGUUGCAAAGCAGAAGUCCUCAUUUCGGGUGCCAACAUCCCCUGAGCAGAUGGAAGUGUCAUCAGUGCUCUGUGACACGACACCGAGACUCUGGCACUGUCAGAAAACUCCAUAUGUUUGUCAGACCUAAUUGGAGUGCUCUCACCACCUCUGGAGAGAACUGAUGGGGUGGGGUACAUUGGCACAAUAUGUCCACUGGAUUGAGACACUCAGGGCUGGGUGCCAUCUGCAGCUGGGGCUGUUAGUUGGGCUGAUUCUGGACUGUGCAGUUUCCAUCACAAAGGAAGGCUCCAGCUCCUGUGCUGGAGCAAAAAGGGGAAACAUCUGCCUUAAGGAAAUAUGAUUCUUCCUUUAUUUCUUUCAUUCAAUAUUGAAUUCUACGUGAUAUUUCCAUGUGCAACCAUCAAGGCAUAUUCUGUCAUGCUGUUAUGAAAAGUUUCACAAUUGGACUCAGGAGACCAUCAGCUCCGAUGGGCUCUAAAACCAUUCCACGAACUCUGAGUUAGUCUCCAAGGUACUCCCUGGCCUUCCCACACCAGCUUUACCCCAGUGCUUCUGCUCCUGCCCGUCGAAACAGAGCCUUGAAAAGUUCUGAACCCAGAAACAGGUCCUUUUCUUGGGUGAGGACAGAUUUUAGAUCCAUCCUCCUAACUCUGCUGUCAACCAGCUGUGAGUUGUUGCCUUGAUUGUUACUGCGCGCUGCUGCUUUUCUCUAUUAACAACUGCACACACCUAUCAGCUCCAGAUAAAACAAACUUCCUGGGGACUGAUUUCAUGAUGCCAAAAUGAUAAAGUUGGCUAAAAAAUGUAGAGCGAAUGUGUGAGCUCUGGAAAACAUUAACAAAAAUAACCAAGUAACACUCCCCAUUCAUACCUAAUUCCUACCGACAUCAAAUUUAGCUGUGUGUACUUUGGACCCGCUAGAACUCAACUCCUAUUUGAAAUGCCCAGCUUGUAGUCUGAUUACUCCAUAAAAAAAGAUGUGUUGUCAACACUGUAGUUUAGGCAGAUUCUCCAUUGUCUGAUCUCUUGUUAUGGGCAUUUACAUCAACACGGAGUGGGUGUACAGCAGCCAGCAGUCUGUGUUAGCAGCACUUUGCAGUCAGUUUGCGCUUACGUAAAGGAUUGUGCAAGAUGUGAGAGGGAAUCUAGCCCCUGGGAAUUGUGUGUGUUUUUGGGUGUAAUCUUGGUGUGCGUAGCCAACACAUGAGAAUAUAGAGAAGUUUUAACAUGCUGUGGCUGCCAUCACCCCAAAUAAAUAGAAUGAACCACAGAGCUGUCAGUCGCACUCACAAACAGGAGCCAGAAUAGCCCGUGUUUUGUGGUGGCAGAUACAUAGAAAUAUGAGCCUGUAAGGAGCGAUAUAUUGCUCUGUUUUUCAUAGUGUUGUUCACCGCAUUCUCAUACCAGUCAGAUAAAAAACUCUUUGGGCCAAAGAAGGGUUCUGAAAAACAUUACAGCCUAUGCAGUUUCCCAAGAUGUCUCUUUGCAGCUCAGAAGAAAACUGGUGAUUUCUGUUCCAUUGGGCAGAAUUGGAUUGUGACUCUGGUUUAGAGAAGCCAAUAUCGCUGCAGUCAUUGGGACAGCCCAGAAAGAAAGCAUUAUGAAGGUAUGUUUAUGGAGCGGGGCCAUGUGUUCCUUCCUCCCACCUCAGAGCCAUAAAUGCUGCAUAUCCCACUCUGUAGCGUGAAGGUGUCCCAGCAGAGGUAUUAAUGUGGUGCUAUCCGGGGGCAGGAGGAAAUGGAGGCACCUUACCCACGUGCUCCCCAAGGGUCUGCCAUAUGUUGGUUGAAAAUCUUUGACAAGACUCAAAAUACCAUUAAAGCUUUUCUGAGCCUUUUAAAUUUAUUUAUUUUCACAGCAUUGGUGACAGUGCAUAGGAAAGGGACACUUGCUGGUAGCAGCAUGGCUCAUACCCAUAGAUCUCCAGUGCCAAGCAGGAAUAGCCCUCCAAGUCAUCAGAAAGUCAGGAUGCAGCCAUUACAGAUGGUUCUCUCUAUAGAGGUUUGUGAUCUUCUUUUUGCUGCCCAGAGCCCACAGCCUCAGUUGGAGGAGCAAAGCAGGAACCAAGAGCAGCCGCUGGCUGCAUGCUUCAUUCUCCUGAGGUUUCCCAGUGGUGGGCCAUCAUGGGUUCCCAGCACAAGGCAAGGAUAUCUAUAUGCUGGCAAGGGAAUUUGUUUUCCUCUGACCUAAUGCUUAGAAACUGCUGAACCAGUUUUGCUGAGACCUUACAAAUCCUUAGCAUGAGGCAAAUUUCCCCAGAAGAGAAUUUUUUCCACCCGAAAGAUUUAGAUUUGGCAUAAAUCAUGAUCUGGUGAACGUAGAGGUGUAGGACGGAAAAUGAUAAGCCCCUGCCAGCUCUGCCUGCAACAACAACUCACAUGUUGUCCACUGCUUUUUAACCAAGAUUUGUCCUAUUUUGCUACAACUAAUUAAUACUUCUGAACUAAUGUUGUUUUGCUAUAGCUAAUGAAUAUUUUAACCUGCCUGAUGCUUGUUAUGGUUGUAUCUCAUUGAUAAAUGGUGAGGAGGAGAUGUGAGAGGUGAAUGUCUACCAGAUGAGUGAUCUGGAAGAUGGAACGAAGGCUGACAUCACGCCACAAUACGUGGUGCUGUUGUCUGAAGCUGUCUGGCUGCCAUAGUGCUAGGAAAAUCAGAGAGGUGAUCUCCCUCCUAUUUCCUCCUUGGAUGGGGUUCAAGGCUGCGGCCUCACCUCUCUUGGAAGCAGCUUGCAAUGCCUUCAAUAAUGGGAAGGGUUGGAAUGGUUGGGGGCGGGACCCUCCUGGAAAGCACCAGGUACCACUGGGAGAUGGGCUCUGCUGCACCGCCUGCAAAUUUUGCACAGCCCUACAUGGUUAUUUUGGCUAGGGUGAUUAAUCUCUGGUCCCGCAGUAUCACUGAGGGUGCUAUUAUGGGCAGACUCCCAUUUCUGAGAGCAGAAGCCAAGCAAGUUCCUCUCCAGAAAACCAUGCCAGCGGGAACCGAACGAGCGGGGUGAGCUGGGCAUUCUGUGCUCCUGGACCCACUGCUCCUAUAAAUUGCAGAGUUUCUUUGUUGUCUGCAAAGACAACCCCAUGAAUCAGAAAUCUUCUGGGGGGUGUCUGCAGGUAAUCGAGUGUGGGGAGCUGUGGAGAGCACCGCCUGGAGGCUGCAGCCAUCUUCAGGAGCUCCGCAUUCCCGGUGCUCCGACGUUAGGUGUUUGGUUUGUACUCUCCAUGGAUCUUUUGUCGGAUUUUAUUGGUUUGUUGAUCUUUGCCGUGUUGGCGGUAUCCCUCCGCCCACUGCUGCCCGCAGCACGGUGGGACUCCCGGGCACGGCAGGGCAGGGCCGCCCCGCGCCCUUCAGCUCCACAGCCAUGACACAGAGGGGCAGCCCGGCGGGAGGAUCCCUGUGGCUCCGGGCAGCGCGAUGCCGCUCCCGACCCCGACAGGAGGGUUCAGGUAGUUGGGUCAGGGCCGGCAGAGACGGCGAAGAGGAAGGGGGGCCCGGAUUCGUUUUAUUAAGUUCGUUUUUCGCUCGUUCCCUCAGCUAGGAGCCUCUCGAAGGGGAUUUUGCAGAGAGCGAUCGGCAGGACAGAGCCCCGUCGUUAUUACAGAACUAAUGAGUUCUCCAGGCGCUCCCUUCGGGCCGAGGUGCGGGGAUGCCCCGUGUCCUCCCCCUCCUCCUCGUCCCCUCUCUCCCCCCCCAGCAGUUCUCGACUCAGCGAGAGAACUAGGAAUAAGAAUGGGAAAUGUUUUUUAAUCACGAAGGAGCGAAUUUUCAUUUCUUUUUCUCCCUCUCUCCGAGGAACUGCCGUGCUCCACACAGGGACCGCCGAGGAGAAAUAAGCCUGGUGCGGACGCCCCGUCCCGGGCGGCUGCGGAUCCCUCGGUGCCACCGUGGGCGCUCCGCGUUCGUCGCAGAGUUGGGACCGCAGCUCUCCGCCAGAGCUGCGCUGUGUCCCUCCCGACGAAAAGUCCAACAGAACGCAGUUCCAAAAAGAAAGGGAAAAGCGUUGGGAAGCACAGACUGUAACGCCCCGCGGAGGGCAGCGGGUCAGAGCCUCCCGCGCCCCCAUUAAGUGCUCCGAGCUGCAAAUCCAACACUUCCAGCCCAGCCAUGAGCUAACCAACCCCCUUGGACGGAGCAAUGCCUCGGAGACCGGGAGCGGAGAGAAAAAAUAAUCAGAACUGUCAGCCCGCUUGACGUGUACCUGAUAUUUACAAGACACAAGACCGCGCUUUAAAGGUGAGUUUUGGCAUUUGUUAACAACAUAAAGAAAAAAAUCCAACCUCCUGAUAUUAUUAAAAUAUAUAUAUAUUUCCAUUUCCACAACA